GCCUUGAGACUCUUGGCUAACAUCCGAGCCGCGUCCGCGUCUAUAUCUGCAAUGAAGGAAGAUCGACACAGUUUAGAAACAGAGCCGCAAAAAAAGGGAGAGUUCUGGAGCUAACCUAGGCUGGUCUGAAGGAUGCAGAGUUGCAGAGAUGGGGACAAUUCGAAGAAUACCUAAGGUCGAGAAGGACGCUGAGGAAGAAUGGAACUCUCAGGAAGAAGGAGGGACCGAAGAAACUUCUGUGCAAAGUGAGAUCCCUG
rnacentral:lncRNA from 1 species